rnacentral:rRNA from 1 species
CCUACGGGAGGCAGCAGUGGGGAAUAUUGCACAAUGGGCGAAACCCUGAACCAGCAACGCCGCGUGAGUGAAGAAGUACUUCGGUAUGUAAAGCUCUAUCAGCAGGGAAGAAGAUGACUGUACCUGAUUAAGUAGCUCCGGCUAACUACGUGCCCGCAGGCGCGGUAAUACGCAGGGGGCAAGCGUUAUCCGGAUUUACUGGGUGUAAUGGGCGCGAAGUCGGCAGUGCAAGUCUGGAGUGAAAGCCCGGGGCCCAACCCCGAAACUGCCCUUGAAACUGUGCGGCUAGAGUACAGGAGGGGCAGGCGGAAUGCGUGGUGUAGCGGUGAAAUGCGUAGAUAUUAGGAAGAACACC